rnacentral:snoRNA from 1 species
GUGAUGAGCCAGGCGAUUAGGAUGCAUGACGCACCACGACCUCCUCUGA